CACCAGAAAGUGAUGCUGUGUCUUCUGAGGGCCCCAGUUCCAGCGCCAUCCCUCGGCCAAAGGUAUUGCUUUGAGUCUUCUACUUGACCUCUGGGAACUUGUUCUCCCUGUCUGGAAGAUGAGCUGGUAAGAACUUCUUACCCACUGGGUUUUAUGAAAAGGAAGGAAAAUUGUGAACAUGAAUGCACUGACCACAGUGCCUGGUGCCUUCAUACAACCUGAAAAGGCCCCCAAAGGAUUUAUACCUGGGAUCCCCAAGAGUUGGAUUGCAAUGGGGGACAUAUAAAGGAGGCUAAGCAUUCUCAGGAUGGCUGUCAUCAAAAAGACUAAAGACAACAAGUGCCGGUGAGGGUGUGAAGGAAGAGAAGCUCCGUGCACGUUGCUGGUGAUGUAAGCAGCCGUGAUGGAAAACAGCAAGGAGGUUCCUCAAAACACUGCAAAUAGAACCAACAUAUGGCAACCCACCUCUGGGCGAGUAUCCAAAAGAAACGAAAUCAGUCGGCCCACCCACAUUCACUGCAGCACGUUUGGGACGCCCAAUGGAAACAACCCACGUGCCCAUCUCAUGAUGAGUGGGUAAAAACAAUGUAGUCUGUAUACAUGAUGGAAUACUACUCAGACUUUUAAAAAAAGGAGGGGGGGGUGGCAAGCUCACUGACCAGGUAAAGGUGUUUGACACCAAGCCUGAAGAUUUGUGCCAAUGAAGUGGAAGGAGAGAACUGACCCCACAAAAUUGUCAUCUGACUGCCACAUACUUCCUGUGACAUGCAUG
rnacentral:lncRNA from 1 species